GGUAGAUGGCCGAGUAAGCAUUAGACUGUAAAUCUAAGCACAGAGGUUGAACCCUCUUCUUAUCA
rnacentral:tRNA from 1 species